UGACCCUUCGCCCAGCACCGCGGUUCCGC
rnacentral:piRNA from 1 species